rnacentral:misc_RNA from 1 species
AGAUCGGGAAUGGCACCUCGCGCCGCGCGAGAUGGCGUGGGAAGGCAAGACCGCUGCGGAGAGCUGCGAGCAGAUAAAUAUCCCGCGCGCAACGGCGGCAGGAAGAUCGAAGACCUGAUCGACCACAUUGGAAAAGAUAGGNNNGGGCCUGGCCGCCCGGUUUUGGCCAUUCUGCGGCUCCAGGCACCCAAAUCAGAAGCCGGAGCCUUCGUCGAGGCCUGUGCAAAGACCGGAGCGGCCUGCCCCAAGUGAUGGAAUUGCGAAGCGGCCAUCCCGACUCGAAGCAAACCGCAAGACGAGCCGA